rnacentral:rRNA from 1 species
GCGAGGCCGAAAGGCGUAGUCGAUGGGAAACGGGUUAAUAUUCCCGUACUUCUUACAAUUGCGAUGGGGGGACGGAGAAGGCUAGGUGGGCCUGGCGACGGUUGUCCAGGUUCAAGUGCGUAGGCUUAAGAGUUAGGUAAAUCCGGCUCUUUCUAAGGCUGAGACACGACGUCGAGCACCUACGGGUGUGAAGUCAUUGAUGCCAUGCUUCCAGGAAAAGCCUCUAAGCUUCAGAUUGUAAGGAAUCGUACCCCAAACCGACACAGGUGGUCGGGUAGAGAAUACCAAGGCGCUUGAGAGAACUCGGGUGAAGGAACUAGGCAAAAUGGUACCGUAACUUCGGGAGAAGGUACGCUCUCGACGGUGAAGUCCCUCGCGGAUGGAGCUAUUGAGAGUCGCAGAUACCAGGUGGCUGCAACUGUUUAUUAAAAACACAGCACUGUGCAAAAUCGUAAGAUGACGUAUACGGUGUGACGCCUGCCCGGUGCCGGAAGGUUAAUUGAUGGGGUUAGACUUCGGUCGAAGCUCUUGAUCGAAGCCCCGGUAAACGGCGGCCGUAACUAUAACGGUCCUAAGGUAGCGAAAUUCCUUGUCGGGUAAGUUCCGACCUGCACGAAUGGCGUAAUGAUGGCCACGCUGUCUCCACCCGAGACUCAGUGAAAUUGAAAUCGCUGUGAAGAUGCAGUGUACCCGCGGCUAGACGGAAAGACCCCGUGAACCUUUACUACAGCUUGGCACUGAACAUUGACCCUACAUGUGUAGGAUAGGUGGGAGGCUUUGAAGCACGUACGCCAGUAUGUGUGGAGCCGUCCUUGAAAUACCACCCUUGUAGUGUUGAUGUUCUAACGUCGACCCCU